rnacentral:rRNA from 1 species
AUGGCGCGACUACUCUUCCAAACCCACACGGCCGCGCAAACCUUCGCCCCGAGCCCGCGCGGCAACCGCCGCCCCGCUCCCGCCGCGCCCCACGCCGUCGGCUUCCUCCGCGCCCUCUUCCCUGCCCGGCCGCCGCCGGCCAAGGCCGAGCUCCUCCGCCUCAUCGCCGACCAGGGCCGCGGCCUCGAAACCCAGUCCGACCCGUCCCGCCUCGCGGACAUCGUCUCCUGCAUAGACGCCCUCGCUGCCUCCGCCCCGGACGCCGACACCGUGUCGGACGCCGCCAAGCUCUCCGGCACCUGGCGCCUCCUGUGGACGACCGAGCAGGAGCAGCUCUUCAUCGUGCGCAACGCCCCCAGCUUCCGCACCGCCGCCGGCGACGUGCUCCAGGUCAUCGACGUUCCAGCUGGGAGCCUCAACAACGUCAUCACCUUCCCGCCCUCUGGCGCGUUCGUCGUGAACGGCAGCAUCGAGAUCCAACCACCCCAGCGAGUAAAUUUUCGGUUUACACGUGCUAUGCUGAAGGGGGGCAAUUGGGAGGUUCCCUUUCCGCCAUUUGGGAAAGGAUGGUUUGAUACUGUCUAUUUGGACGAUGAAAUCCGUGUAGCGAAGGACAUAAGGGGGGACUAUUUAGUUGUUGAGCGUGCUCCAUAUUCUUGGAACGGAUAG